rnacentral:rRNA from 1 species
AUGGCGCUCCGGCUCCGGCCGUCCUACCUCUGCCUGUGCACCUCCUUUCUCUUGGUGGUCGCCUUAGCCGGCACACGGCCGGCGGCCGCCCAAUGUGAGAAGACGGUGGGGGCGGUGCCGGACUGGUGCACAAAGCAGUUCUUCAAGGCGGCCUCCUCGGGUGCCAAGGGGGACGAAUUCAUCACCCAUGAAUGUUGCCUGCUGCUCGGUUGUGUCCAUGAGUCAAACUGCGAUAGCAUCCUCCGCCGCUUCUGCCCGGCUCCGGACGCCGAUGAGUGCCCGGUGCCACCCGUCGCACCAGCUGUGUCGACGGGAGCGGCUAACUAG